rnacentral:ncRNA from 2 species
UUGAGCCGUGUGCGUCGGAAGGCGCACGCACGGUUCUGAGGGGACGGGGACGCAGCAAUGCGCCCCCGUUACCCGGC